UGUGGAGAGGCGUAGAUGGCGGCGCUGGUGGAGAUGGUGGCCGCAGCGGCGCUGGAGACGAUGACUCGACGAAGACGAAGACGAACUGCUCAGAUCCAGGACGCCCAUGACUUAAAUAGGAGCGGACCUGAAAGGUCCUAAUAUGGCUAGAGGGGGGUGAAUAGCCUAUUUAAAAAUUCUACAAACUCACUAGAGCAAAAGGUUAGUAAAUAACAAAGCGAAGCUUUUUGCUCUAGCUCUAAAGGGGUGUUUGCAAGCCACCUACCCAACAAUUCUAGUUGCUAAGAUCUCUAUGCACACAAGAACUAAGUCUCUACAAGUUACACUA
rnacentral:lncRNA from 1 species